rnacentral:lncRNA from 1 species
AUGAGGAAGCCAUCGGGGCUCGGAGGGGGCCUCGCUGGGUCCGGAGGGUCCCCGCCAGCGUCAGCCCUUCUGUGCGGCCAGAGCGUCUGUCCUGGUUUAUUGAAAGCCAGCGGAAUACUCCAUUUCACCCGCUUCAGUGGGAAACGUUUCGCAGAAAAACACAAGAAGGUCUGGGGCUCAGAUCCUAUGGGCGUGGGCGGCAGCGGGGAGCCCUGGACCCUGGACCCCGCGGGCGGCGGGAGCAGGAUUCCCCGUGUCCCGGCGACUCCCUCUCCUUGCUCCAAACUCCACGCAGGGGUCUUCAUUCCUGGACGCCCCGUGAUGUGUCCCCUCCGGCUCUCCGGAAGCUUCUACAGCCAGGGCUUUGGCGACCUGCCCACGGAGCCCCAGGACCCGAGCCCCGCGGAAUUCUCGGGGGUCCGCGCGGCCGCCGGCGGUCAGCGGCUUUCAACGCUGGGCUCGGGCUCAGGCCUCUCCUUUUCCACGGGGGUUCACCGCAUCGUCUGCCCCGAGUCCCGGGCCGGCUUCCCCGCUGGCCCCGCCUGAGGACGGUCGCCGUGACGCACUGUCUUCACCUGCUGAUUCGUCCCUUCUGGAGGCUCGUGGCCUCCCCCGGCCUGAGGCUGACGUCUGGGCUCAGGACGGUGUCCCACGGCUCCAGAGGGGAUUCCGCGCGUUGACCAACAGUCUGGACAUUCAUACUCACCUGCCCGAGUUUCUGGUGCGUCUGCAGGAAACGAGAGACUCUGUGUCUUUGCCUCGUGAGCUCCGUCUGCAGCCCUGGGGCUCUGAGAACAUGACAGGCGCCCCCGUGAGUCGCCGGCACCCGUGGUCGCUGGGGCCCCGGCCGCUGAGCCGUGGGGAUGCACAUCCACGGAUGGGGAGGGAGGCCCAGGCAGCAGGGAGUGGGCAGGGGGGCGGCGGGUGAGCGCCUGCGUCAGGCCGGUGCAGCCCGGGGAGCGCUGGCCACGGGGACUCAGACGCCCCCUGGCGUGUGCUUCAUGCAGGUUCUGGCUCCGUCUCGUCCCGACUGUGUGGCCCUGGGCAGGUCACUCGACCUGAGCUCUGGGGCACUGCACACGGUCAAGCGAGGCCCCGGGCCCAGGGACGGGAUGGGACGGGGGUGACGGGGACAUCUGCAGGCCCCUCCUCCGGGCAGAAGCUUUUCUGUUUUCCAGUUUCCAACCCAGGGCUGUGGAGCGUGUGCAGGUAAGAGGUGAGGCACCUGCUACGCUUCACCCGCAGGUACCUGGUGAGGUCACUUCUCGCCGACCCUGUGUCCUGGACCCAGUGGGUCACCGGGGGGGGCGGGGGCGCCGGCCCGGAGCCUGCGGUGGGGGAGAGCCGUCUUUCCCGAAGAUUCGGGUGCCAUUCGUAGGGGCUGUUUUACAUCAAUUUAGAUUUUUUUAACGCGGCGUCCCGGUCCGAUGACGGAACUUUUGGUGCCCUGCCAGGGUGUGCUGAGCGCGAUCCCCGGGCGCCCCCAGGCCUCCUGGGUCACGUGCCUUCCACCGAGCUCGGGCUGGGCCGCGGCUGCAGGGGCGCCCUCUGCUCCCCAGGGGUGGGGUCUCCGAGCUGGGCCGCCUGUGAGGUCAUCGUGGGGCGCGGGGGGCCCUUUCUUGCACCUUCUCGCUCAGACUUCUGGGUAAGUUCUGGGGAAGGAGCAGGUUUUCCGGGUGGUGCUUCUUUUUCGGGGUGUGUGGGUGAGGGGAGGCUCGGCCUGCCUGAGGUGACCCUCAGGCCUGUUGUCCGUGAGUCCUGGGGUUGGGGAGGGGACACCUGGGGACAGCUGGGAGCAGGGCGGGAGCACAGGCCCUGGCUUCCGUGCAGGGUGUGUGGCAGGCAGACCCGUGGGUCCUUGUCACGGCCCCGAGGCCCCGAGGUGCACGUGGUGACAGACCGUCCUCACUCGACUGCUCAACUCCCGGGACCUGGCUCCUGGGCUCGGAGCUUCCCUCCAAACCGUCCGGUUUCAGCGAGCGUCCUGCUGGCCCGCGAGGCAGGAGCCCGGGGCCUGGCAGCUGACCGGCCACCCCGAUGCCUCCUGCGGGGAUCCCAGGGGCCCCUGCUCCUGGCUCUUGCUCCCGCCGUGUCUGAGAGCAGCGCAGGGCGGAGGCCGCGGCAGUGCAGGCUCCUCCGUGUCAGGCGGCUGUGGGGCAGGUGUGGGCCCCGCGCUGAGCGCAGCGUGGACGUGGGCGCGGCCCUCGGGGAGGACCUUUCUCCAGCAGUGAGACCCGAGCCAGCCCCUGACUGAACACAGGAGGGAGCCGGGAAGAUGGUGGCAGCGCACCCAGCGCAGGACCUCGCCCAAGACAGGCCCGACCCCUGCAACGAGACCCAGGCCCCAGCAGCGGAGACCCCGGCCGCUGCAGUGGAGACCCCGGCCCCUGCGGAGACCCAGCACAUCUGAGGCCCAGGAGACAGACGGUCUCACGCUUGUCCUGGUUCGCCUCCCACUGGGGACCACUCUGCCCUCGGCCAGCACAUGUGCUCAGGGUGGCCCCGGGCACCUCCCGCCUCCGGCCCACCAUGAGCCUCACCUCGUCCGUCCUUGGUCCCUGGUGCCGAGGAGCAAGGGCAGCCGAGCAGCAGCCGAGCAGGGCCUGGGUGUGCCCCCCCCCCCCCCCGUCUUUCCCUUGUUUCUUGCCCACGGCCUACGGAUGAGUUUCUAGGGUUUACGGAGGGAUGAGGACACACCCUGAGCUGUACUCGCUGGAACCGCGGGGAUCCGCGGGGGGAGCAGCAGGGCAGUGGGCAGGGCCACCCCGUGUGCCCGCGCGGGGGCAGUGAGGACACACCUCAGGGCCCAGCCCUCAGAUGAGGGCUCCCUGGGAAGGAAGGCAGUAAAGGCCGGAGAAGUUGUACUUUGCUGUUUCACGUUGAUCGCGGGCGCAGGUUGCAG